rnacentral:rRNA from 1 species
AGUGAACGCUGGCGGUAGGCCUAACACAUGCAAGUCGAACGGCAGCACAGUAAGAGCUUGCUCUUACGGGUGGCGAGUGGCGGACGGGUGAGGAAUACAUCGGAAUCUACUUUUUCGUGGGGGAUAACGUAGGGAAACUUACGCUAAUACCGCAUACGACCUACGGGUGAAAGCAGGGGAUCUUCGGACCUUGCGCGAUUGAAUGAGCCGAUGUCGGAUUAGCUAGUUGGCGGGGUAAAGGCCCACCAAGGCGACGAUCCGUAGCUGGUCUGAGAGGAUGAUCAGCCACACUGGAACUGAGACACGGUCCAGACUCCUACGGGAGGCAGCAGUGGGGAAUAUUGGACAAUGGGCGCAAGCCUGAUCCCGCCAUACCGCGUGGGUGAAGAAGGCCUUCGGGUUGUAAAGCCCUUUUGUUGGGAAAGAAAAGCAGCAGGUUAAUACCCCGCUGUUCUGACGGUACCCAAAGAAUAAGCACCGGCUAACUUCGUG